rnacentral:rRNA from 1 species
GAUGAACGCUGGCGGCGUGCCUAAUACAUGCAAGUCGAGCGAACAGACGAGGAGCUUGCUCCUCUGACGUUAGCGGCGGACGGGUGAGUAACACGUGGAUAACCUACCUAUAAGACUGGGAUAACUUCGGGAAACCGGAGCUAAUACCGGAUAAUAUAUUGAACCGCAUGGUUCAAUAGUGAAAGACGGUUUUGCUGUCACUUAUAGAUGGAUCCGCGCCGCAUUAGCUAGUUGGUAAGGUAACGGCUUACCAAGGCAACGAUGCGUAGCCGACCUGAGAGCGUGGUCGGCCACACUGGAACUGAGACGCGGUCCAGACUCCUACGGGAGGCAGCAGUAGGGAAUCUUCCGCAAUGGGCGAAAGCCUGACGGAGCAACGCCGCGUGAGUGAUGAAGGUCUUCGGAUCGUAAAACUCUGUUAUUAGGGAAGAACAAAUGUGUAAGUAACUAUGCACGUCUUGACGGUACCUAAUCAGAAAGCCACGGCUAACUACGUG